rnacentral:rRNA from 1 species
CGGGAAUUUUGGGCAAUGGGCGAAAGCCUGACCCAGCAACGCCGCGUGAGGGAUGAAGUAUUUCGGUAUGUAAACCUCGAAAGAAUGGGAAGAAUAAAUGACGGUACCAUUUAUAAGCUCCGGCUAACUACGUGCCAGCAACCGCGGUAAUACGUAGGGAGCAAGCGUUGUUCGGAUUUACUGGGCGUAAAGGGCGCGUAGGCGGCGCGGUAAGUCACUUGUGAAAUCUCUGAGCUUAACUCAGAACGGCCAAGUGAUACUGCUGUGCUAGAGUGCGGAAGAGGCAACCGGAAUUCUUGGUGUAGCGGUGAAAUGCGUAGAUAUCAAGAGGAACACCUGAGGCGAAGGCGGGUUGCUGGGCCGACACUGACGCUGAUGCGCGAAAGCCAGGGGAGCAAACG